UCGGAAUUACUGGGCGUAAAGCGCAUGCAGGUGGUUUGUUAAGUCAGAUGUGAAAGACCCGGGGCGUCAACCUCGGAAUUGCAUUUGAAACUGGCAAACUAGAGUACUGUAGAGGGGGGUAGGAAUUUCAGGUGUAGCGGUGAAAUGCGUAGAGAUCUGAAGGAAUACCGGUGGCGAAGGCGGCCCCCCUGGACAGAUACUGACACUCAGAUGCGAAAGCGUGGGGAGCAAACAGGAUUAGAUACCCCUGGUAG
rnacentral:rRNA from 1 species